GGUGUAAAAAGUAGUUCCAGGGUGAUGCUCAGCAUGGUGUAGAAAGUAGUUCCAGGGUGAUGUUCGGCAUGAUGUCAAAAGUAGUUCGAGGGCGAUAUUCAGCACGGUGUAAAAAGUAGUUCGAGGGUGAUUUUCAACAUG